AACGCGCAUGCGCGGGGAGAGACCCAGUGCGGGGCCGCCCCCCGGCGCGCGGCGUGGGCUCGUCUGGGGGGACCGCGGCCCCCCAAAGUCGCCGUCCCGCCACCCCGAGGUUGGCCGGGCAGGCGCGCACGGAUGGCCCCGUGCGGCACCUGCGCAGCUACUGAGCGACAGCUUUUAAGUUUAUGGACACAUACUAUGAGGCCUCCAUUUGCAUCCUGCCCCGAGGCUGCCGACGCCAGGGUGGAGAUGAAAUGAAAAAGCAGAGCUUGUAUUUUCAAGAAAAUAAUUCAAUUCAAACCGGAAUGAUAGGGGGGAGGGGACAUGGGCAAUGCCAUUUCCUGUGUUACAACUUGGUGAACUUGGAACCCUUGCACACUGCUGGCAGGAAUGUAAGACAGUGCAGCUGCUUUGGAAACCAGUCUGGCAGUUCCUCCAAAGGUUAAACAGCAACUUUAGGCCUAGGUGUAUACCCAAGAGAAAUGAAAA